rnacentral:sRNA from 1 species
GCUGGGUGCAGUGGCCUACGCCUGUAAUCCCCGCAGCUCUGGAGGCUGAGGCAGGAGGAUCUCAAGUUUAAAGCCAGCCUCAG